AUUGAACGCUGGCGGCAUGCCUUACACAUGCAAGUCGAACGGUAACAGGUCUUCGGAUGCUGACGAGUGGCGAACGGGUGAGUAAUACAUCGGAACGUGCCCGAUCGUGGGGGAUAACGAAGCGAAAGCUUUGCUAAUACCGCAUAAGAUCUACGGAUGAAAGCCGGGGACCGCAAGGCCUUGCGCGAACGGAGCGGCCGAUGGCAGAUUAGGUAGUUGGUGGGAUAAAAGCUUACCAAGCCGACGAUCUGUAGCUGGUCUGAGAGGACGACCAGCCACACUGGGACUGAGACACGGCCCAGACUCCUACGGGAGGCAGCAGUGGGGAAUUUUGGACAAUGGGCGAAAGCCUGAUCCAGCCAUGCCGCGUGCAGGAUGAAGGCCUUCGGGUUGUAAACUGCUUUUGUACGGAACGAAAAGACUCUGGUUAAUACCUGGGGUCCAUGACGGUACCGUAAGAAUAAGCACCGGCUAACUACGUG
rnacentral:rRNA from 1 species